rnacentral:piRNA from 1 species
UNCAAAGGUUAAAUCGUGGUAUGGCCAGU